GGGUUGUGAGGUUAAGCGACUAAGCGUACACGGUGGAUGCCCUGGCAGUCAGAGGCGAUGAAGGACGUGCUAAUCUGCGAUAAGCGUCGGUAAGGUGAUAUGAACCGUUAUAACCGGCGAUUUCCGAAUGGGGAAACCCAGUGUGUUUCGACACACUAUCAUUAACCGAAUCCAUAGGUUAAUGAGGCGAACCGGGGGAACUGAAACAUCUAAGUACCCCGAGGAAAAGAAAUCAACCGAGAUUCCCCAAGUAGCGGCGAGCGAACGGGGAGCAGCCCAGAGCCUGAAUCAGUGUGUGUGUUAGUGGAAGCGUCUGGAAAGGCGCGCGAUACAGGGUGACAGCCCCGUACACAAAAAUGCACAUAUUGUGAGCUCGAUGAGUAGGGCGGGACACGUGGUAUCCUGUCUGAAUAUGGGGGGACCAUCCUCCAAGGCUAAAUACUCCUGACUGACCGAUAGUGAACCAGUACCGUGAGGGAAAGGCGAAAAGAACCCCGGCGAGGGGAGUGAAAAAGAACCUGAAACCGUGUACGUACAAGCAGUGGGAGCACGCUUAGGCGUGUGACUGCGUACCUUUUGUAUAAUGGGUCAGCGACUUAUAUUCUGUAGCAAGGUUAACCGAAUAGGGGAGCCGAAGGGAAACCGAGUCUUAACUGGGCGUUAAGUUGCAGGGUAUAGACCCGAAACCCGGUGAUCUAGCCAUGGGCAGGUUGAAGGUUGGGUAACACUAACUGGAGGACCGAACCGACUAAUGUUGAAAAAUUAGCGGAUGACUUGUGGCUGGGGGUGAAAGGCCAAUCAAACCGGGAGAUAGCUGGUUCUCCCCGAAAGCUAUUUAGGUAGCGCCUCGUGAAUUCAUCUCCGGGGGUAGAGCACUGUUUCGGCAAGGGGGUCAUCCCGACUUACCAACCCGAUGCAAACUGCGAAUACCGGAGAAUGUUAUCACGGGAGACACACGGCGGGUGCUAACGUCCGUCGUGAAGAGGGAAACAACCCAGACCGCCAGCUAAGGUCCCAAAGUCAUGGUUAAGUGGGAAACGAUGUGGGAAGGCCCAGACAGCCAGGAUGUUGGCUUAGAAGCAGCCAUCAUUUAAAGAAAGCGUAAUAGCUCACUGGUCGAGUCGGCCUGCGCGGAAGAUGUAACGGGGCUAAACCAUGCAC
rnacentral:rRNA from 1 species